rnacentral:rRNA from 1 species
UACGUAGGGUCCGAGCGUUGUCCGGAAUUACUGGGCGUAAAGAGCUCGUAGGUGGUUUGUCGCGUUGUCCGUGAAAACUCACAGCUUAACUGUGGGCGUGCGGGCGAUACGGGCAGACUAGAGUACUGCAGGGGAGACUGGAAUUCCUGGUGUAGCGGUGGAAUGCGCAGAUAUCAGGAGGAACACCGGUGGCGAAGGCGGGUCUCUGGGCAGUAACUGACGCUGAGGAGCGAAAGCGUGGGGAGCGAACAGG